rnacentral:rRNA from 1 species
GAUGAACGCUAGCGGGAGGCUUAACACAUGCAAGUCGAGGGGCAUCACGAGGUAGCAAUACUUUGGUGGCGACCGGCGCACGGGUGAGUAACACGUAUGCAACCUACCCUGUACAGGGGGAUAACCCGGAGAAAUUCGGACUAAUAUCCCAUACAAUUAUUGGAGGGCAUCCUUUGAUAAUUAAAGCUCAGGCGGUAUAGGAUGGGCAUGCGGAACAUUAGCUAGUUGGUAGGGUAACGCCUACAAGGCUACGAUGUUUAGGGACCUGAGAGGGUUAUCCCCCACACUGGUACUGAGACACGGACCAGACUCCUACGGGAGGCAGCAGUGAGGAAUAUUGGUCAAUGGGCGCAAGCCUGAACCAGCCAUCCCGCGUGAAGGAAGAAGGCCCUAUGGGUUGUAAACUUCUUUUCCAGGGGGUGAAUAAUUCCGAUGUAUCGGGAGAUGACGGUACCCUGGGAAUAAGCAUCGGCUAACUCCGUGCCAGCAGCCGCGGUAAGACGUAGCGUG